UGGAAUUUUAUUUAAAGGAAAACAAAACCAAAUAAAACAGCAACAAAAACAAAUAAAAAACCUCUUGAAAACUCAGGUUUUACUCUUGGAUAUUCCCAUCUCUCUCUAAAGAGAGUGCUUCAGAUCAAAUAUCCCACAUGUGAAAUAUUCUUUGAAGAAGCAAGUCUCAGUGAAAUAUUUUCACUUUGAAUGCCACAUUUUGGUGAAAUGGUACUUCCUUGAAAACGUGCCAGGUGAUGAUGAUGAUGAUUACAUCCUGUGCUGGUCCCCAGCCUGCCCCAUGGUCUUUCCCACCCCAGAAGCAGCUGUGUGGGUGCUGCUGGCAAGGGGACACCACUGCCACAGGGGAUGUGCCUGAGCCCUGAGAGAGCCAAAGCCAGCCUGUGGGAACAGAGCUGCAGCACCAAGCGUGGAUCAGGGCUCUGCAGGCCACACAGGACUCUUGGGAAGAGCACUGGAUGUGAGAUUAAUCUCUGGAUUUUGGUACCUGUAUCCACGAGUUACCUGUGAAUGACAGUGACGCCUUACAAAAAGCAGACCCCCUCUUUCGUAAAUUCUUGGCAACACACUGCCAUUUAUCUCUGUGCUUAUAUUGGUGCAGAAGAACAUUUGAUUUUUUUUGUCCAGCUGAAUUCCUUGAGGCUUCCUGUGGUUAAAAAAGAACAGUAAAUUCUGAAAUUUAGAAAAAAUUAAAUGCUGUUAUUCUGAACAUCAGCUGGCUGGAGAUACUGGCAGUAACUUGCUUUUAACUCUAACAUCCACAGUUCCUAUUCUGAAGCUAAAAUUGGCACUGACAAACUUUGGCUAUCCUGACAGUCCCACUAAAAUCAGUCAGACUGUUGACAUGAGUGAUAGCACACAAUAUAUUGUAGUUUAUUUGUGGUUAAUGAUUUAUAGAAUCACGGAUUCUCAGAAUUUGUGUUUGAAGGGUUUUUCCUUAAAGCUCGUCUCAUUCCCCUCCCUGCCAUGGGCAGGGACACCUUCCACCAGCCCAGGUUGUUCAGAGGUAACUGUACAGACAAGCACAGGAUGUUUAUCUGCCUUUUGUGAAGCUGUAUGAUGGCACAAGGUUUGAGCAUUACUAAAACAUCCCUUGUCUCUGGGCUCACACACUGGAGGGCGGGUUGGGGAGGGGUGGGACACUUGCUCACUUUCUUAACCAUUUCCCUUCUGAGUGAACCAGGACACAGCUUUGCAUGUGGGUCAACAUCCAAGAAAAGUGAAAUUAAUUUGUUCAGAACAUAAAACAACCAUUUCUUUGCUCACAGAAUUUGUCAGAGAGCUGCCUUUCUCCUUCAUUUGCUUUACAAAAUGCUAAUUUUGCUUAACCACCGACACACAGCAUUUUGUAAAAGAGAGCCAUUUUAUUCUCAUUAUGAUGUUUAUGUUAAGAGGAAGAAUGAGCAGCUUUGUGACAAGAAAACAUCUGAGUUUUCCAAAGAAGAGGAGCAAGCUGGCUGUCACGUAUUGUUUUGCCAUUCUCCUAUUUGCAUAUCAGAGUGAUCUUUGUUAAAGGUUUGCAAAUGAAACACUUGAGAUCCGUUUUUGGUCCCCAGCUGAGGGCAAGAAGUCCUGGCCAGGAUGGCCACAGAGGCAGGAGGACAUGGUCCCAGUCCUGCUCACGUGCCAUGGGCAAUGCCAGCCUGGUGCUCACCCGUCUCCCUGCAGCUGCCGACAUGCUCGGCUCUGAAGGAACAUGGAUUUGCCCACAGCCUUGUCUUAAAUGCAGAGCUAAGCAGCUGUCUGGUAUCAUCUGUCAUAACCUGUUCUCAGUAUCCCUGCUCUGUCUCGCCAGAGGUUUUCUGUCUGCUGUGCGAGCUGUUCUGCUCCCUCCACAGAGGGACAAUGUUUUUCCCAGGGCGAGCUCUCCCCAGGCUUGGGACCAUGGCUUGGGAUGCAGACAGCAGCACCCCUCCUGUGAUGACUCAAGGCAUUGGGAAAGUAGAUGGGGAUGUAUUUCUGACAUUUGCCACCACCAUGGAGUCCAGGGGCAGACCCUGCCCUGCCAGUGGCACCCACCCAACAGGGUUCCAGCAUGACACACCACCGUGACAGACUGGGGACACUCCCCCUCCUCAGUCCUCAGUGGACUUUGAAUAUCCACCUCCGCCAGGAAGUCCAAGAACUGGCCUUGAGCUGAGUUGAGUUUCAGGCUUUUAUUUAUUCAGGUCAAUAGUUCUUAUUUCUUUGAUGCUGCUCUGUGCUCACCUUUUGUACAUUCAUUUUACCCUCUUCCUGUUUUAUAUGUUCCCUAAAGCCACCAAAUCAGGAAGGAUGGGUUUGGCUUGCUGAGCCUCGAUCUUUCUGUCCAUCAAACACUUGCCAUCUUGGGGACCCAACUGUUUCUCACCAAAGAGCUGAAAAGAUGCUUGCACUCAACCCUUACAGUCACUCUGUGCUCCCCAUCCUCACAGGAUCUCUGCUCCAAAGGGACAAGAUUGAUGCUUCCUCCUGUCACCUACAUCAGGCCUCUCUUCCUACCGCUUCAGCCAAUGUAAAACCCUUCUGAUGAGCCGGGAUUAGGCCUUGCUCUUUCUUGAAUCGGCUGAUCAUUAAAGGAGCCCUCCUAAUGGAGACACAUUAGUGAUUUGAGAGGUGAACCAUUUGCUCUUGUGAGUACAGAACAGCACCUGGGAUGGCAUCCAUCUGAAAGGUGAUGGUGCACUGAUCCCCAGUAAACUCUCCUGGUAAUCCUGAUUAGGUGCUAAUUUGAGCUGCAUUUUUUCUGCUCUCUUUCACCCUCAUUUUCUCCUUGCAGGCUUUACAGUUUCCCUCCAUUCACUAUGUUCCUCUCCCAGGAAGGCUGUGUUGGAAGAGCAGAUUAAACCUUUACACAGGUAGCUGUGAAUAAAUGUCUGUGAGAAUUUGCUACCUUCCAGCAGUUUUAGCACAUCUCUUGGAAAGCGCUUUCUGUGUGUGAAAUACAGCAGGCACCAUCUCAGCUGAUCCAGCAAACUCCAUCUAUGGAGAUGUCACCUUCUUUCUGGGAUCCUUGCUGCCCAGCUAUGUUUCCCAGCACGAGCAAGGUCUGCAAGCUGAGGUUUUGGGUCUAAAACAGCAGCUGCCAUCAACCAGGGGUCGCUCUGGUGGGUCUCCUUCAGGGCAUGUUGCUCGCACAGUGCCCUGGCCAGGUCGGGUCCUCCCGUUCCCUGUUCCAUGCGGUUCAGCAGAUGAGCAAAGCUACUGAUCAGGACCUUCCCUGCACAUCCACUGACCCGCUGCUGUGCAGUGGAGGGCCUUGCAAGGAACACGGAGAGCCUGGUUUGACAGAGGAUCCCCAAAUACUGUGGUGGAGUGGACAGGCCAUGCUCCCACACCCUGGUCAGACGUGCCAUAGAACUCAUCUCCCGGCAGUUCAUGAAGGGAUGAAGAAGACCAGCUUCAUGAGGAAUAGCCCCUGCUUUGCCAACCCACAGCUAUAAGAGGCCUGGACUCCUCGAUUCUGCCGGGAGCUGUGGGGAGGCGCAUCCGACCCAGCCUCCCUCCAGCUGGUUUCCACACACACGGAGGAGUCACUGCCUGCUCUGUGUCUUCACCUCAGUGUCCCACCACUGUGCUUCACCACACAGUGCCUGAGGUUUACUUAUAGAUUUGAGGAAAAUCAAUUUUCUAGAAAAAAUUAGGUACAGAAAAAGAACUGGAAUCAUUAUGCUGGGUUAGGAACCCUAUGGAGACAGCAGGUUUGAACUAAUCACACGGACAGACACCCAAAUUACAUCAUAGCUCUUGCUUGAAAGAAACCAAAUUCUGAGAAACAUGAAGUGGCUUAAAUUAUAAAUUAGUUGCUUCUGUGUGUGAAUUAUUUGCUCAUGAGACUGGGAAUUCCUCGUCAUUACCUUGUGAAAGCCUUGGGAAGGGGCCGGGGCAGUCCCACAGAUUCCUCAUCAGCUGCUGCUGCCACCAGCAGCACCAAACCAUGUCCUGGUGCCCCCGUGCAGCACCUGCAGGGGUCCAAUCCCCAUGUCCCUGCUCGUGGGACUGGCCAGACCCUCCAGGGCAGUGGGACCCCUCCGUGGCACCAUCCCCCAGCAGCUCCCACCCUGAUUGCCCCCGUUCAGCACACAGUGGGGUCACGGAGCGGCCAGCCCUGCUGAGAGCUGUGCACCAAGGUGCCUGAGAGUCCUCCACAGACAUCCAACAACAAUUUAGUAAUUUAAAAUGGCCAAAGGAGGGUUAAUUCUUCUUAUAAUGAAAAUCAAUGGCCAUCUGACAAGAGGGUUUUAAAUCUUUUCAUGAGGAAAUUGCUCAGCAAAAAUGCUUAAUUCCCUUAGUGUGCCACCAUGCAUCUCACAUCCCCCCCAUGGUUUUCUGGGUUUUCUCUUUGUUUUUAGGGAAUUGUUUGUUCUACCAGGUAUAAAUGGGCAAUAUAAUAAAUCCAGCUUUUCAAAAAUUAGUAUAUAAAUAUUGUGAUACCUGCCAUGUGAAUAUAUUAAUGCUCAACAA